rnacentral:rRNA from 1 species
GAUGAACGCUGGCGGCGUGCCUAAUACAUGCAAGUCGAGCGAACGGACGAGAAGCUUGCUUCUCUGAUGUUAGCGGCGGACGGGUGAGUAACACGUGGAUAACCUACCUAUAAGACUGGGAUAACUUCGGGAAACCGGAGCUAAUACCGGAUAAUAUUUUGAACCGCAUGGUUCAAAAGUGAAAGACGGUCUUGCUGGCACUUAUAGAUGGAUCCGCGCUGCAUUAGCUAGUUGGUAAGGUAACGGCUUACCAAGGCAACGAUGCAUAGCCGACCUGAGGGGGUGAUCGGCCACACUGGAACUGAGCCACGGUCCAGACUCCUACGGGAGGCAGCAGUAGGGAAUCUUCCGCAAUGGGCGAAAGCCUGACGGAGCAACGCCGCGUGAGUGAUGAAGGUCUUCGGAUCGUAAAACUCUGUUAUUAGGGAAGAACAUAUGUGUAAGUAACUGUGCACAUCUUGACGGUACCUAAUCAGAAAGCCACGGCUAACUACGUG